rnacentral:lncRNA from 1 species
UCACGAUUUUUAUUCAAAAAAAAAACUAAUAAAUCCUGACCGUAGAUAUCAAAAUGAAAAUGAAAACACAAAUUAAGAUGGAAAAAGAAAUUCAAGUUAUAAUAGACGACGACAUUGAAUUCUCCAAAGAUUGUUGUCUCUCCAACCUCAUUUUCUUAUAAAACCUCUGAAUGAACUCCUCAGCUCUUUUGUCGACACACUCUUCAUCCUCCUCCUCUUCCGACAAAAUUUCGUCGACCAAGCUCUUCUCCAAUAAAAAUUCACUUCCAAAGUACUCAAUCUGAGCGUCAUCGUCUUUGCCUCCACAACCCAAGCACAGUAAAACGAUGAGCUUCUUCUUCCCUAUGAUCUCCUUGUUAAAUUUAGACAACAUAUGAUCAUACCGACUAUUAUAUCCAGUCAAGAUUUUUCUCUUUCUAAUGACUGGCUUUCUAAUUACCUUUGCCAUAGGAAACUCCAUGAGAUACUCCCAUGCUCGUGACACCAUGUGUCCCUUCGUCUUCGUCUUCCCCUCCAUCUCGAUCGAUCUCUAUGAACAAGCUAGAAUUCACCUCUCAUCCGGCCAUGUAUGUGUGCGUGUAUGUUCUAUAUAUAUAUGGUGAAUGGUGAUUGAAAAAGGCCGGGGUAG